GAUGAACGCUGGCGGCGUGCUUAACACAUGCAAGUCGAACGGAAAGGCCAGUGCUUGCACUGGUACUCGAGUGGCGAACGGGUGAGUAACACGUGGGUGAUCUGCCCUGCACUUCGGGAUAAGCCUGGGAAACUGGGUCUAAUACCGGAUAGGACAAUGGUUUGGAUGCCGUUGUGGAAAGUUUUUUCGGUGUGGGAUGAGCUCGCGGCCCAUCAGCUUGUUGGUGGGGUAAUGGCCUACCAAGGCGUCGACGGGUAGCCGGCCUGAGAGGGUGUACGGCCACAUUGGGACUGAGAUACGGCCCAGACUCCUACGGGAGGCAGCAGUGGGGAAUAUUGCACAAUGGGCGCAAGCCUGAGGCAGCGACGCCGCGUGGGGGAUGACGGCCUUCGGGUUGUAAACUCCUUUCGCUAGGGACGAAGCGUAUUUGUGACGGUACCUGGAGAAGAAGCACCGGCUAACUACGUG
rnacentral:rRNA from 1 species